rnacentral:siRNA from 1 species
GAAUCUUGAUGAUGCUGC